rnacentral:rRNA from 1 species
UACGGGGGGGGCAAGCGUUGUUCGGAAUUACUGGGCGUAAAGGGCUCGUAGGUGGCCAACUAAGUCAGACGUGAAAUCCCUCGGCUUAACCGGGGAACUGCAUCUGAUACUGGAUGGCUUGAGUUUGGGAGAGGGGUGCGGAAUUCCCAGUGUAGAGGUGAAAUUCGUAGAUAUUGGGAAGAACACCGGUGGCGAAGGCGGCGCUCUGGACCGAGACUGACGCUGAGGCGCGAAAGCGUGGGGAGCAAACAGG